CACCUCAUCAAUCCUGUAUUUAUCGAGUUUCCUACCUUUUGCCUAGAACUUCCCUUCUUGUCUCUCUAUAAAUUUUGAUCUCUAGACACUGAUCAUAUCUUUCAUAAACUCUCAAGACAGUGUCCUUCUGUAAUCAUCCUUGGACCAGAUAUUCUGAGACUUUGCAGCUAUAUACAUGGCAGAAUCCGGUGACUAUCCCUUGUACAGCUGCAGGAAUUGUAGGAAUCCACUUGCUUUCGAUAGUGAUCUCCUCUCCAAGGCUUACAAGGCAAGAUCAGGGCAGGCAUACAUGUUCUCUCAUGUGAUGAACAUCGUUUUGGGACAAAAAGAAGACAGGAAGAUGCUAACUGGGAUGUACACAGUCGCUGCUAUCUUCUGCAGAAAUUGUGGUCACGAGCUGGGUUGGAAAUAUGUGAGAGCUUUUGAUCCAUCACAGAGGAUCAAGGAAGGGAAUUUCAUAGUUGAGAAAUUGAAGCUUGUAAGGGAAUAUUAAUUAUUCAGAACAAGAGUCAUAGUGAGAGAAAGAUUCAUGUUCUAAAUAUGUCCCAUAUGAAGUGGUCAUGUAUUUAUUUGCAUUUGACUGUUUGCUGCUUAUAAGACUGUUUAUGCUUGAAAA